GACGAACGCUGGCGGCUUUCUUCCCCCCUGCCCGUCGAACGGAAAGGCCCUGCUUUUGUGGGGUGCUCGAGUGGCGAACGGGUGAGUAACACGUGAGUAACCUGCCCUUGACUUUGGGAUAACUUCAGGAAACUGGGGCUAAUACCGGAUAGGAGCUCCUGCUGCAUGGUGGGGGUUGGAAAGUUUCGGCGGUUGGGGAUGGACUCGCGGCUUAUCAGCUUGUUGGUGGGGUAGUGGCUUACCAAGGCUUUUCCGGGGAGCCGGCCUGAGAGGGUGACCGGCCACAUUGGGACGGAGAUACGGCCCAGACUCCUACGGGAGGCAGCAGGGGGGAAGAGUGCACAAGGGGCGGAAGCCGGAGGCAGCAACGCCGCGUGCGGGAGGAAGGCAGGCGGGUUGUAAACCGCUUUCGCCGGGGACGAAGCGUGAGUGACGGGAAGGGGUAAAGAAGCAAAGGCGAAAUACGGG
rnacentral:rRNA from 1 species